AACACGUAGUACAUCACGCUCUGGCCCGCCAUGAAGUGCUGCUCCGCCGUCUCCAGGAAGCGCUCCAGGUACUUCUCCAGUUCUUAGACUAAGAGGAACUGGACACCAGGAGCCUCAUACCAGGACUGCCCAGCCGAGCCACUCGAUUCCUGACCCACAUGGCCCUUGAGAUGACAAGUGAUUGCUGCUUAAAGUCACUGAGUUCUGGAAUAAUUUACAUCAUGGCAAUAGGUAACUAAUGCAGAUUCUGGUACCUGGAAAAGGAGUGCUGACAUCAAACAGCUCUAUAGAUGUGGGCGUGGCCUCAGAACUGGCCACAGGCAGGAGCCAGAAGGACUCUGUGGAAAGCGUGAGUGUCUAAGGUGCUUUGAGAGACUGUAUAUAGAAGUCUCAUGGCCUUUAGGGAAGCUGCUGGGGAGGCCUAAAGGAAAGUGAGGAAACUCUUAGUGGAGAUUGGAAGAAACAGGGUCUCUGUUAUGAAAUAAAAGAACAUUUUGUAAAAAUGUGGUUGGUAGCAGAAAUGUAAGUUGAAUGUACCUCAUGAAGUGGGUGGUCUAGCUAAGGAGAUUUUCAGGCAGAAUGUGGAAGGUGUUGCUUGGCUUCUUACUGCUGCUCACAGUAAAAUAGGAGAGAGAGAAGGUAAAAACAAACAAACAAAACUGUUCAACAUAAAGGAACCGGGAUCUGCCGGUUUUAAAAAUGCCCAGCCUCUCCAGAUGGCACAUGAUGCUAACAUUAAGAAAUGGUUUCUAGGCAAAGAUCAAAUUCAGGGCACAGUCAAGAAAACACGGUCUACAGAUUAAACUUAGGAUGUGACUUAAAUCUUUUUGUGAAGACUUCAGAAAGAUCUAAAGUGAUGCCUCAAAGAGC
rnacentral:lncRNA from 10 species